rnacentral:rRNA from 1 species
GACGAACGCUGGCGGCGUGCUUAACACAUGCAAGUCGAACGAUGAACCCGGAGCUUGCUCCGGUGGAUUAGUGGCGAACGGGUGAGUAACACGUGAGUAACCUGCCCUUGACUCUGGGAUAACUGCGGGAAACUGUAGCUAAUACCGGAUACGACCCUCGGCGGCAUCGCCAGGGGGUGGAAAGAAUUUCGGUCAAGGAUGGACUCGCGGCCUAUCAGCUAGUUGGUGAGGUAACGGCUCACCAAGGCGACGACGGGUAGCCGGCCUGAGAGGGCGACCGGACACACGGGGACUGAGAUACGCGCCAGACUCCUACGGGAGGCAGCAGUGGGGAAUAUUGCACAAUGGGCGCAAGCCUGAUGCAGCGACGCCGCGUGAGGGAUGACGGCCUUCGGGUUGUAAACCUCUUUCAGCACCGACGAAGCGCAAGUGACGGUAGGUGCAGAAGAAGGACCGGCCAACUACGUGCCAGCAGCCGCCGUAA